GUGGCCCAAAGGGUAGGGCGCCAGCCCCAUAUGCUGGAGGUGGCGGGUUCAAACCCACC
rfam:Otolemur garnettii contig180935, whole genome shotgun sequence.